GACAGAGGGUGCGAACGUUGUUCGGAAUUACUGGGCGUAAAGGGCUCGUAGGCGGCCAACUAAGUCAGACGUGAAAUCCCUCGGCUUAACCGGGGAACUGCAUCUGAUACUGGAUGGCUUGAGUUCGGGAGAGGGAUGCGGAAUUCCAGGUGUAGCGGUGAAAUGCGUAGAUAUCUGGAGGAACACCGGUGGCGAAGGCGGCAUCCUGGACCGACACUGACGCUGAGGAGCGAAAGCCAGGGGAGCAAACGGG
rnacentral:rRNA from 1 species